rnacentral:rRNA from 1 species
UACAGAGGUCUCAAGCGUUGUUCGGAUUCAUUGGGCGUAAAGGGUGCGUAGGCGGUGGGGCAAGUCAGGUGUGAAAUCCCGGAGCUCAACUCCGGAACUGCACUUGAUACUGCCUUGCUAGAGUACUGGAGAGGAGACUGGAAUUUACGGUGUAGCAGUGAAAUGCGUAGAGAUCGUAAGGAAGACCAGUGGCGAAGGCGGGUCUCUGGACAGUUCC